GGGGUAACGGCCCACCAAGGCAAUGAUCGGUAGCCGGCCUGAGAGGGCGCACGGCCACACUGGAACUGAAACACGGUCCAGACUCCUACGGGAGGCAGCAGUGGGGAAUUUUGCGCAAUGGGGGAAACCCUGACGCAGCAACGCCGCGUGGAGGAUGAAGCCCCUUGGGGUGUAAACUCCUUUCGAUCGGGACGAUAAUGACGGUACCGGAUGAAGAAGCACCGGCUAACUCUGUGCCAGCAGCCGCGGUAAUACAGAGGGUGCAAGCGUUGUUCGGAAUUAUUGGGCGUAAAGGGUGCGUAGGCGGUGCGGUAAGUCUGUUGUGAAAUCUCCGGGCUCAACUCGGAGCCUGCAACGGAAACUGCCGUGCUGGAGUAUGGGAGAGGUGAGUGGAAUUCCCGGUGUAGCGGUGAAAUGCGUA
rnacentral:rRNA from 1 species